rnacentral:lncRNA from 1 species
CGGUCAACAUGAAUUUGACAGCUAGUGCCCCUAGAAUAAAUAAUAAGUACCGGUACACUAAUUUUGAGUGUCCUCAGUUCUAGAAACAUUUCAAACAUGAUGGACCAAUAAUGGAGCAUCUGAUAAUAUCCUAACAAGACAACAUACAUCACAGUUUAAAGCUUAUAAUAAAAUAAAAUGUGGACACUGAGAUAUGUCUUGCCUUAAUGAAUCUUGAUAGUAAAAUACAAAUGAUGGAGUAAGAAG